GUGGGGAAUAUUGGGCAAUGGGGGAAACCCUGACCCAGCAACGCCGCGUGAAGGAAGAAGGUUUUCGGAUCGUAAACUUCUAUCCUUGGUGAAGAUAAUGACGGUAGCCAAGAAGGAAGCCCCGGCUAACUACGUGCCAGCAGCCGCGGUAAUACGUAGGGGGCAAGCGUUGUCCGGAAUGAUUGGGCGUAAAGGGCGCGUAGGCGGCCUGGUAAGUCUGGAGUGAAAGUCCUGCUUUUAAGGUGGGAAUUGCUUUGGAUACUGUCGGGCUUGAGUGCAGGAGAGGUAAGCGGAAUUCCCGGUGUAGCGGUGAAAUGCGUAGAGAUCGGGAGGAACACCAGUGGCGAAGGCGGCUUACUGGACUGUAACUGACGCUGAGGCGCGAAAGUGUGGGGAGCAAACAGGAUUAGAAACCCUGGUAGUCC
rnacentral:rRNA from 1 species